rnacentral:lncRNA from 1 species
ACUUAGUAGUAGGGCUUGUGACAUCAAUGCUCUUAACUCUAUUUAAAAGAACCCACCGACUGGGUAUAGCUCAUUGUCUUUGCAUCAUUACACCUGAUCAACUGCUGAAAUUGACUGACUCAAAGAACUGACCACAAAGAUGAUGAUGAAGACUGUAAUCUUUCUGGGCUGCCUCCUGGGCCUGUCAUUGGCUCUUCCUGCUGAAGUGGAUCACUUGAGAGUUGCACGUUCCAGCUCUGACUCCAACUCUAACUCAAACUCCAAGGAGGCUGGUGGUUCCUUCCUGCCCUCCCUGCCAAAGUUGAAUUCAAAUCAGCUACUUCAACUGCUACUUAAACUGUUUGCUGCCUCUGCCCCAGCACCAGCCCCUGCCCCAGCUCCUGCACCUUCCCCUGCUCCUGCCCCUGCUCCUGCCCCAGCCCCUGCCCCUGCUCCUGCCCCAGCUCCUGCCCCUGCCCCUGCCCCAGCCCCUGCACCAGCCCCUGCCCCAGCCCCUGCUCCAGCCCCAUCCCCUACUCCUGCCCCAGCCCCUGCACCAGCUGGACGUUAAACAGGUGAAGUGAUGUUACAGUAACCCAGCCAUCAUUCAUUUAAUAUCUCAAUAUUAGAUUCCCCCAGUGGCGCAAAAUACUUAAGUAAAAAUAUUUUAAAGUACUACUUAAAUAGUUUUUGAGGUUAUCUGUACUUUACUUUACUAUAUAUAUUUCUGACAACUUUUACUUUUACUUCACAAAAUUCCUGAAGAAAAUAAUGUACUUUUUACCCCAUACAUUUUCCUUGACCUCCAAAAAUUACUUUUUGAAUGCUAAGCAGGACAGGAAAAUGGACAAAUUCAUACGCUUAUCAAGAGAACAUCCCUGAUCAUCCCUACUGCCUCUGAUCUGGCAGACUCACAAAACACAAAUGCUUAGAUUAUUAAGAUGUCUGAGUGUUGGAGUGUACCCCUGGCUAUCCGUAAAUAAAGUGAACAAGAAAAUGGUGCCGUCUGACUUGUUUAAUAUAAGGUUUUUGUAAUGACUUAUACUUUUACUUUUACAUUUGAUACUUAAGUAUAUUUUAGCAAUUACAUAUACUUUUGAUACUUAAGUAUAUUUAAAACCAAAUACUUUUAGACUUUUACUCAAGUUGUAUUUAAGUGGGUAACUUUCAUUUCUAUUAAGGUAUCUUUACUUUUACUCAAGUAUGACAAUUGGGUGCUUCUCCCAACACUGGAUUCCCCAAACAUCAUAAGUACAAUGUAUAUCCUUUAAAUUCAUUAAUUCACUUUUCUGUCUAUCAGGUAUUUUAUGGAACUCCCAGACAUUGACUAUGAAAUGUGAUUCCUUUAUGCAUCUCUGUUUAAUAAACACAUUUAUAUUUCAAGCUCAA